CACGACUCCUCCUGGAGAAGGGGAAAGUUCCACCAUGAACCAGGAGGACAGAACAACUGAGCCCACUGCCAACACCUCCCCUUCCCUCCCUGCCACAUCCCUGACAACCCCAUCCCCGACAAACCUCAAUACAGCAACAUCUGUCAAUCCUUCUAUUACUACAACUUGUUUGACAGAGUCCAUCAGAGUACAGAAUGUGACUGCAGAAGAAAUUCACCUCAGCUGGAGCAGCAGCAGCAGCACAGGCGGCCUCUACAGCAUCUCUGUCAAGGAUGGAAAUGAGAUAAAUACAAGAACUACAAAUGAGACAGAAACUGUGAUUGAAAACCUGCUUCCUGGCCAUGUGUACACCAUUUCUGUGGCACUGUCAUCUUGUGCUGGGAGCAAUCCUGCUUCAGUCACUGUCCGAACAGAUUAUGGUUCCUGUUUCAAAGGGACUGAGUUUUGUUUAGCACAAAGUACUGGCUGUUCUGACUUGAAAGGCGUGGCGUGCUCCAAUAACCAAGCAUUUUCCUGCAAAGUUCGGUUGGAAAAUGAGAAAUUUAAUAAUACACUUUAUAACUCUGAUAGUGAAGGCUACAUAAAUAUGUCUAAAAGACUCAAAACAGAGGUUCUUGAAGCAAUGAACGCUGAACUGGGGAAUAACCACUCUGAUAUUUUCAUUCUGGGGUUCAGAUCUGGCAGUGUUAUUGCUGAUUUUCUCUUUCUGCUGCCAAAAGAAGAAGCCAUGGAUGUGGGUGACAUUCAGACCCGCCUGAGUAAUGUAUUAACGAGCAAGUUUGGGAGCCAAAGUGAAGUGGAAACUGUGUCUGUUCAGACACCAGAUGACAACAUCUCCUCCUGGAGAGCAGCAGUGAUUGUCCUUGGAGUUCUGCUGGGAGUUGCAUUAGUGGUGAUUCUGCUGGCAAUUCUGUUUUACAUCCAUGGGAGGAGAAGAUCAGGUAAAUACUUGGUUCAACCCUCAGGACUCAUCGGAAUGUUUGUCUACAAGCACUUAUAAGAUAAAACAUCAGCUUCACUUAAAAAUUUUGGGCAAGGCAGAAAAUUAAUAUAUUUAUCUUAUAAUUUGAUGUUAUUAUUAUAUUAUAUAUAUAUACUGAUGUUAUUAUUAUAUUAAUUGUGCAUAAUAACUUAGGAUAAUUUACACCCUUUCCUUCCCAAUGUCCAUUGUCAAACUCCUGAGCUUCUAACAACACCUAAUGAAUCUUCCUUUAAACAGGUAUGGAUUUUUCUUCAUUGUACACAUGGUAGAGUGAGGAACAGAGAAACUUCUCUUCAGCCUAUCCCAUAUAGGUACUGCAAUGACUUUAACACUGGCAAUCUAGAGAGACAAGACCCAAACUACUCAAUAUUAUAUUUAGGUGGCACUGAAAACAGGGUGACUGAGCCUGGUAGCUGUGGCAGGUCACCUGAAUGCUCAGCUGAGCCCAGAGUCAUCCUGUUGAGUUUUGUGCACUUGCCCAAGGGUGAUUCACCUCCCCUGAGACUCCUAUCACUGUAUAAAAUUACAUAUAUAUAUAUAUAUAUAUAUAUAUAUAUAUAUAUAUAUAUAUAUAUAUAUAUAUAUAUAUAUAUAUAUAUAUAUAUAUAUAUAUAUAUGCCUUUUUCUCUCCUGUGACUGUAGAAUGAGCCCAGGGUAAUUAGCAAUCCAGCAUUUGCAGCUUGAUUAGGAGUUUGGAGAAAAAUGGGAUACAUCUCAGUUAUGUGCGCUUGCUGUAGAAGUCUGCUGGACAGAAACUUGAUUUGGAGGUUUCUGAAUUCAAGGUUUCUUUAAUUGCUUAAUAUGAAGAAAUAACUGUUUAUAUGUGUCAAAUGUAAGGCGUGCUAAAUCCAGCUGUGGUCUCACAGCAUAGUCUCAGAGGUGGGGAAGGCAAACAUUUGGUCCAUUUGAGCCAAAAGUAUUUUAUUCACCUAUUUUUGCCUGUCAGAAAUGGUUGGCUGAGCAAGGACAUGCCAUAUAGUGCAAUUCUGUCCUGCUCUUGAUAAUCCCAAAGUAGAGCCCAGUCCAACAGAAGCGACUCCUGUGGCAUUGGAGACCUUGCUUCAGAUUUCUUCUAAUUGCUCUAGAGCAAUUACAAGAAAUGAUCUUCACCUUUUCCCACCACUCUUCCCUGCAGUCCUGGUGGAGUUUCAUUCUGUUUCUACUGUGGUGCAGUUUUUCCUGCUUGGAAUGUGCUGAACAGAUGACAAAGGGGCAGUUUACUGCUCUACAUAUUUCCAGCAGGAUUUAUGGGUUUCAUUUCAAACCAGCCCUCCCUGUAUCUGUAUAUUUGGAAUUCCCAUUGAGGCACUGAGUAUUAACCCAUGCUGUUGAGGCCCUGGCUCACAGCCCCUGAACACCCCUGGUUUUUGGGUUUUUUUGUGGUUAUUUGGCACAGAUUUGGGUACAUUGGUGCCAGAACUGCAACACAAGCAGAGGUGCACCAGCAGCUCUGCUCUGCUCCCUGUGCAGCCAGCAUUCAUCCUUCUCAUCCCUCAUUCCCUGUGCUGUGACACAGCUCCUGGAACAGCCCUGCUGAGGACCCUGGCUGCAAUAUUAUUUUUAGCAGCAGGGACCUAUGAAACAGGGGCUUGCAUGCCUUGCACUCCCUUUCCUUCCAUGGAGGGUCAAUUUGUCUGUCCUGGCUAAGAUCUGGGGUGUGGAGUCACAGACACCUCAGUGGUGGGAAGAGAGUGAUUAGUAUUUGUUACAUUUCUAUUUUGUGGCUUUUAAAUAUAGCUAGCUCUGGUGUUCCACUCACUGAGUAGGCAUUCAGCAAUGUAUUCUGUCAGUAAAUACAAGUUAUCCAGGGAGCUCUGUUGAAAAUAAAAAUGAGUGCUCUUGCUUGUGUUAAUACUCU
ensembl:lncRNA